UGUCUAUUAUAAUCUGUGAAAUUAUUUCCCAUUAUACAUGUUAUAAUACAUUUAUUUUAUUUUUUUUAUUUACUAAAUUAGCUUAACAUUGCGCGGGGAAAAAAUCUGACUCAGCGGAUAAAAAUUCCACUUGAAGAUUAAUGGUUGCUCCUUAAGGGGGGUCGAAGGUGGGGCAUCAUAUAUAUAUUGUAAGUAAAAUAGUCCCAUGUUUAAGGUUGCUCACUUUUGAGCAUCAUCGUCUGUUUUUAAUGCGAUCAUUUAUAUUUCAAUGAUUUCAACUGAAAUUUGUCUUUAUAUUUACUGAAGACUCGUCGACACUGUAGACAAAACUCAUCGCAAAAAUAUAAGAGAAGACAAAACCUGGGACUAUUAAAGUU
rnacentral:lncRNA from 1 species